CCCCUGCAGACAAUAAAAAUUGCUACUAGCUAGUAGUAGUACAAAAUUUGGAUUUUGUAUUGCAAUUAAAGAUAAUUACGUGCAAAUAUGAAUAUAUGUGCAAAUAAGUUACAAUGACCACACAUUUCCCCAUCAAAUCGGUGCUUACAUCCUGGUAACUGACCCUACCAAAUGCUCACUAUUGCUAGCUAAGUUACUACUCUACUGAUUGGUACUCACAGGCCAAAUCUAAAAAAUAAUUAAGCCUAUGGCUAGAUGAAAACCAGGAAAAGGGGAAGAAAAGAAAUCAAUAGAGCUUAACCAAUAUAAGUUUGCACAUUGGUUAAUGUCUAAUAAUGAAUUCUUUUUUUCUCGCUCUCUGUCUCUUGGUUCAGGCCAGAGUUAGUGCGCAAGCCACUACGCCAA
rnacentral:lncRNA from 1 species